CCUACGGGUGACUGCAGUGGGGAAUAUUGCACAAUGGAGGGAACUCUGAUGCAGCGACGCCGCGUGAGUGAAGAAGGAAUUCGUUAUGUAAAGCUCUAUCAGCAGGGAAGAAAGUGACGGUACCUGAAAAAGAAGCACUGGAUAAAUACGUGCCAGCAGCCGCGGUAAUCCGUAAGGAGCAAGCGUUAUCCGGAUUUACUGGGUGUAAAGGGAGAGUAGGUGGCAGAGCAAGUCCGAAGUGAAAACCCAAAGCUCAACUAUGGGAAUGCUUUAGAAACUGCUCAGCUAGAGUGCAGGAGAGGCAAGUGGAAUUCUUGGUGUAGCGGUGAAAUGCGUAGAUAUUAGGAAGAACACCAGUGGCGAAGGCGGCUUGCUGGACUGUAACUGACACUGAGGCUCGAAAGCGUGGGUAGCAAACAGGAUUAGAUACCCGUGUAGUC
rnacentral:rRNA from 1 species